rnacentral:rRNA from 1 species
UUGGAAUGAUGGGAAUUUAAACCUCUUCCAGAGUAUCAAUUGGAGGGCAAGUCUGGUGCCAGCAGCCGCGGUAAUUCCAGCUCCAAUAGCGUAUAUUAAAAUUGUUGCAGUUAAAAAGCUCGUAGUUGAAUUUCUGCUGCAUUGCUUUUGCUCCUUUACGAGUCUUUGCAUUGUGGCUUAUUUCGGACUUUGUUUUACAAUGUCCGGAUGUUUACUUUGAGAAAAUUAGAGUGCUCAAAGCAGGCUUUCGCCUUGAAUAGUUUAGCAUGGAAUAAUAAAGUAGGACUUUGGUUCUAUUUUGUUGGUUUUAGGUACCAAAGUAAUGGUUAAUAGGAACAGUUGGGGGCAUUCGUAUUUAACUGUCAGAGGUGAAAUUCUUAGAUUUGUUAAA